GGUAGUCCACGCCGUAAACGAUGGCCACUCGGCCUUUGGAGGCGGAAUCUCCGUCUGUGGGGGCCUUAGCUAACGCGGGAAGUGGCCCGCCUGGGAACUACGAGCGCAAGCUUAAAACUCAAAGGAAUUGACGGGGCCCGCACAAGCAGCGGAGCGUGUGGUUUAAUUCGACGCAACGCGCAGAACCUUACCCAGGUUUGACAUGCCCCUGCAAGCUUCUGAAAGGAAGUCGCCUUCGAGGGUGGGGCACAGAUGCUGCAUGGCUGUCGUCAGCUCGUGUCGUGAGAUGUUGGGUUAAG
rnacentral:rRNA from 1 species